ACCCAAGGUUUCAACACUGAGGACUGAUCCCCUGCGUCUUUCUACUGCUUCAUCCAACACUCAGAGUACCAUGGGAGACCCAACUUGGAGGAAUGGUGGUUAAGAAAACUGUGCCACUUGCUGCCAGGGGAUUAGCACACAGCCAUUAAAAGAGAUACCUUGUACCAGGUGAACUGGAGCGAAUUCAGCUCUGUCUUAUCGGCAAUGAGAGUACCAAAAUAAUACAAACACAAAGAAAAGCCUUUAUCCGGACACCAUAACUUGAUGCAAAGGACAAGUGUCACCUUAUGCUUCAGCUUGCUGGAUGUUGGAUCCACAUUGAGAAAGAGGACAGAAUCUGAAAUCCUAGAGAUCAGAGUCUCCAUUAAGCAUUGGAAAAUUCCAAGCAUAUCAGAGAUGAUGGGAUGAUGAGAUGGUGAUUCUUUGGGGAUCUGCAGUUUCCUCUUCAAUAAUAAGUCACCGUACUCUUCUAACCUCUCUGAAGACGUUACCGCAUCUAAUUCUCACAGUAACCGUAUGAGAUGCGUACUGUGAUUAUCCCAAUUUUACACUUACCUAAACUUGGCCACCAGAGCAAGACCUUCACCAGUUCAAAGCCUAUGAAAUGCAGCUGGUUAGGGUUCUGCACAGCUGGGAAUCUAGAGACCCCAAGGUCUCUAGAUGAAAGAGAGUUGAAAGGCUGGUGAAAGGCUGGCCUGUUACAAGUCAACGUGAAGAAACAGGGCAGACAGCCAGAAGCAACAAGCGCAGGAUUGCUACAGUUGUCUUCCUUAAGAGUUCUGCCAUCUCAGGUUGUGGAAGGACUGGAGAAGGAAGC